UUUCAGCACUGAAACUCACCGGCU
rnacentral:misc_RNA from 1 species